CACGCUUAGGCGUGUGACUGCGUACCUUUUGUAUAAUGGGUCAGCGACUUAUAUUCUGUAGCAAGGUUAACCGAAUAGGGGAGCCGAAGGGAAACCGAGUCUUAACUGGGCGUUAAGUUGCAGGGUAUAGACCCGAAACCCGGUGAUCUAGCCAUGGGCAGGUUGAAGGUUGGGUAACACUAACUGGAGGACCGAACCGACUAAUGUUGAAAAAUUAGCGGAUGACUUGUGGCUGGGGGUGAAAGGCCAAUCAAACCGGGAGAUAGCUGGUUCUCCCCGAAAGCUAUUUAGGUAGCGCCUCGUGAAUUCAUCUCCGGGGGUAGAGCACUGUUUCGGCAAGGGGGUCAUCCCGACUUACCAACCCGAUGCAAACUGCGAAUACCGGAGAAUGUUAUCACGGGAGACACACGGCGGGUGCUAACGUCCGUCGUGAAGAGGGAAACAACCCAGACCGCCAGCUAAGGUCCCAAAGUCAUGGUUAAGUGGGAAACGAUGUGGGAAGGCCCAGACAGCCAGGAUGUUGGCUUAGAAGCAGCCAUCAUUUAAAGAAAGCGUAAUAGCUCACUGGUCGAGUCGGCCUGCGCGGAAGAUGUAACGGGGCUAAACCAUGCAC
rnacentral:rRNA from 1 species